ensembl:misc_RNA Metazoa_SRP Metazoan signal recognition particle RNA
GCCGGGUGCGGUGGCGCGCGCCUGUAAUCCAAGUCACCGGGAGGCUGAGGCUGGCGGAGCGUUUGAGCUCAGGAGCUCUGAGCUGCAGUGGACUGUGCCGAUCGGGUGUCCGCGCUAAGUUCGGUAUCGAUAUGGUGCUCCUGGGGGAGCCCGGGACCACCAGGUCGUCUAAGGAGGGGUGCACCGGUCCAGGUCGGAGACGGAGCAGGUCAAAGCCCCCGUGCCGCUCAGUAGUGGGAUCGCGCCCGUGAAUAGACGCUGUAGUUCAGCCUGAGUGAUACAGCGGGACCCAGUCUUU